GGCUCGGUAGCUCAGUUGGUAGAGCAAUGGACUGAAAAUCCAUGUGUCGCCGGUUCGAUUCCGGCCUGAGCCACCA
rnacentral:tRNA from 1 species